rnacentral:misc_RNA from 1 species
AACCAUUCUCACCUGCGGCUAGACCUGCGGAAGGAUCAUUACAGAGUUGCAAAACUCCCCAAACCAUUGUGAACCUUACCUUCAAACGUUGCUUCGGCGGGCGGGCCACAGCGCCCCCCGGGCCCCCCCAGCGGGGGCGCCCGCCGGAGGAUACCCAAACUCUUGAUACUUUAUGGCCUCUCUGAGUCUUCUGUACUGAAUAAGUCAAAACUUUCAACAACGGAUCUCAGAUCGGAAGAG